CACUCCUGCGGGAGGCAGCAGUGGGGAAUUUUGGACAAUGGGCGAAAGCCUGAUCCAGCAAUGCCGCGUGCAGGAUGAAGGCCUUCGGGUUGUAAACUGCUUUUGUACGGAACGAAAAAGCUCCUUCUAAUACAGGGGGCCCAUGACGGUACCGUAAGAAUAAGCACCGGCUAACUACGUGCCAGCAGCCGCGGUAAUACGUAGGGUGCGAGCGUUAAUCGGAAUUACUGGGCGUAAAGCGUGCGCAGGCGGUUAUGUAAGACAGAUGUGAAAUCCCCGGGCUCAACCUGGGAACUGCAUUUGUGACUGCAUGGCUAGAGUACGGUAGAGGGGGAUGGAAUUCCGCGUGUAGCAGUGAAAUGCGUAGAUAUGCGGAGGAACACCGAUGGCGAAGGCAAUCCCCUGGACCUGUACUGACGCUCAUGCACGAAAGCGUGGGGAGCAAACAGGAUUAGAAACCCCUGUAGUCCCAUGAU
rnacentral:rRNA from 1 species